GCAAAUUAAAUUUUUUUGAAAAUUGAUUGGGCUUAAACCCAAGUGGCCAGAGGUGGGGAAAUAAUAAAAGGGGGUGCAAAACAAAUCAGUUCUAAAGACUGAUUUGGGCCCAAGUUCAAAAUGCAACGGGAUGCUGCACAGCAAAAAUGGGGGGUGCAAAAACGAACUGGUUUGAACCAGUUAUGCAGUGGCGUCAGUUAGCAGUCGUGGGGGGUGCAGAAGCAAAGCCUGAGGCUGGCCCAACGUCCCUAGGUUAGUAAUUAGGGUUUUUUUUUUUCUACCCCCAAACCCUGAGUGCUGGCCUCAUUCGAGCGGAACACUCUACCCAGCCUGCCUCCGCUUUCUCUCCCGAGCCAAAGAGGGUGACGACUCCAACCAACCCUCAUUCCGGCAGCCACCGCGCCGCCUCCUUCCUCAUCACCACCUUAUCGGACGAUGAUCGUCACCUAGCACGCGAAGGCGCCUCUUCCCUCACGCAGCGUCUUCGCCGCGCACCGCCGGUAACCACCGUCUCCAGUCAGCGCGAGUCACAACCACGGCAGCGCCGCCAAAUCCAGGAUCGCGCCGCCGUCCAGAAGCUACCUCGCUACUACCGCUUAUUGCCGGAGGCGCUACCAACCCUGGCGUCGGGUUCUCUCAUCCUUCUCCGUCGACCACCGCCUGAACGAACCCAGACGUCCCAAAUCAAGACGCCACCAGCGUCACAAGUCGCGGCGAGGGUUCAGUUGAAAGACCUUCACUGAACACUGGCUUCUGGAGUCAAUGAUUUCCUCGUUUGGCCCUCUAGCGUGAUGGAUUCUUGCUCCUGGCCAAUUUCAUUUUUCCCUGAUUAAACUUGUUUCUCUGUUUUUUUCUAGGACCGUGUAGUUUAGGGAAGUGAUGAGGAUGAUGAAAAUUGUAAGAACAAUUUGGUUGCUGGGAUUGGAAUUGGAUUAGCGAAAACUGUUUAGUCUUUUUUUUUUUUUUGCUAUUUCUUUUCUAUGUGCAGAUUGAAGAGGCGGUGUUGUGAUGCUGCAGGGUCAUAUUGGGUUGGCCUGCAAGGGUUUACGAAGAAGAAUGGAGGUGAAUUUGUGGCUGGGUGGUGAACGAAUUCGAAACUAGGAUGAAGAACAGGGGAUAUGUCUGGGUGUUUGAUGCGUAGCUUUUGGCGUCGACGCGGUUUCCGGUGUAUAGAGUCGCGUGAAACAAAGGCCGUCCCUCCGAAUCAAUCGUGACAAUAGAAACAGGGGUGAUAAAAUUUCAACAGCAAUGGUGGUAACCAGUAAUGAUGAUGCUCAAUAAUGAGAAAGAAAAUUGAUUCACAAUAAUAACAAUCUCAAGUAAGGUCAACCAUAUCAACAUAAACAUAAGGCCAUACACCAUUAAAACGUUACCUCUCCGGCGAUGAACUAGAACAGAGGUACCCUUGAGGAGCUCAGUUUUUCUCUUUCGCUUGCCUUCUUUCCUUUCUUUGAUUCCCUCUUCCCCCAAAUUGCCUCCUUCUGCCUUGACGAUUCCCCAACAAAAUCCUCUCUCUGUAACCGUUUUUUCCAAAACCCCCCAAAAACCUUUUUUUGCCAGCUCACUCCCCCGUCCCCUCACAUCCAACACACACAAAUUAAUUUUCUCACGUGUUUUUCUUCAUACGUUUUUCUCUUUUCUUUUCUAUUCUAUUUUUUUUUCUUUUCUUUUCUUCUCUUUUUUUUUCUUUUCUUUUUCUUUUCAAAAUAAUAAAAUUAAAUGAAAACUAAAAUUAAAUCUAAAUAAUAAUAAAAUAAAAUGAAAACUAAAUCAAAUAGUAAAAUAAAAAUGAAAAUAAAAUAAAACAAAAGUAAAAACAAGUUCGAUUAUUUAAACGUCUGGACGAAAUUGAGUGUUGACAGCU
rnacentral:lncRNA from 1 species